UUGCGACCCCAGGUCAGGCGGGAAUA
rnacentral:rRNA from 1 species